AGUCCCGGAAACGGACCGUGUUGGGUGAAGGUGACGGCGUCGAGCGUGAGUGUCCCUCUGUGUAGAUUAAACCUGCGCUCCCUGUUUCCCAUUUCCACAGCCGAUGUCCAGGGUCGAUACGGGCCUUAAAAUCCCCGCACACUCCACCCCAGAAAGGCGGGAGACAAUGCAUUGGAGCUGCAAAUCUUCUCUGAGUCUGAAGCAUCCUGCCUGAUGCGUUUGCUCACAUUGACCCAUGCCUUCCCUCAGUCCCUCUCAUCUCUACUGAGAUUCCGUCUCACCCUGACCCUGUGACAUGAACUUCUGAAGAGUCCACUGGGCAUGGUCCUGGGAAGGGCUCACACCCAGACAUGGAUGGAGAUGGGUUGACAUUCAGGGACGUGGCCAUCGAAUUCUCUCAAGACGAGUGGAAAUGCCUGAACUCUACACAGAGGACUUUAUACAGGGAUGUGAUGUUGGAGAACUACAGGAACCUGGUCUCCCUGGUGUAUUAUCCCAUGUGGGAGCACAGGAAAGAGCCCUGGACCAUAGAAAGCCAAGU
rnacentral:sRNA from 1 species